rnacentral:rRNA from 1 species
GAUGAACGCUGGCGGCGUGCUUAACACAUGCAAUUCGAACGAAGUGGCGAACGGGUGAGUAACGCGUAAUCAACCUGCCCUUCAGAGGGGGACAACAGUUGGAAACGACUGCUAAUCCCGCAUACUGAAGGAGGGGAUUGCGUCGGAUUCGCUAGUUGGAGGGGUAACGGCCCACCAAGGCGAUGAUCAGUAGCCGGGCUGAGAGGAUGAACGACCACAAUGGGACUGAGACAAGGACCAGACUCAUACGGGAGACAGCAGUGGGGAAUAUGCCGAAAUGGACGAAAGUCUGACGGAGCAACGCCGCGUGAGUGAUGACGGCCUUCGGGUUGUAAAGCUCUGUUAAUCGGGACGCGGUACCGGAAUAGAAAGACACGGCUAACUACGUGCCAGCAGCCGCGGUAAUAC